rnacentral:rRNA from 1 species
GAGUUUGAUCCUGGCUCAGGAUGAACGCUGGCGGCGUGCUUAACACACGCAAGUCGAGCGAAGCAUUUAGGAUGAUCUCUUCGGAUUGAGUCUUAUAUGACUGAGCGGCGGACGGGUGAGUAACGCGUGGGUAACCUGCCUCAUACAGGGGGAUAACAGUUAGAAAUGACUGCUAAUACCGCAUAAGCGCACAGGGCUGCAUGGCCUGGUGUGAAAAACUCCGGUGGUAUGAGAUGGACCCGCGUCUGAUUAGCUAGUUGGAGGGGUAACGGCCCACCAAGGCGACGAUCAGUAGCCGGCCUGAGAGGGUGAACGGCCACAUUGGGACUGAGACACGGCCCAGACUCCUACGGGAGGCAGCAGUGGGGAAUAUUGCACAAUGGGGGAAACCCUGAUGCAGCGACGCCGCGUGAAGGAAGAAGUAUCGCGGUAUGUAAACUUCUAUCAGCAGGGAAGAAAAUGACGGUACCUGACUAAGAAGCCCCGGCUAACUACGUGCCAGCAGC